UACGUAGGGGGCAAGCGUUGUCCGGAAUCAUUGGGCGUAAAGGGUGCGUAGGUGGCGUGGUAAGUCGGAUGUGAAAUCCCGGGGCUCAACCCCGGAACUGCAUUCGAUACUGCUGCGCUAGAGUACUGGAGAGGAGAUUGGAAUUUACGGUGUAGCAGUGAAAUGCGUAGAUAUCGUAAGGAAGACCAGUGGCGAAGGCGGAUCUCUGGACAGUUACUGACACUGAGGCACGAAGGCCAGGGGAGCAAACGGG
rnacentral:rRNA from 1 species